AAAAAAACAACUAAACAGGUUGUUUGAGAAAGUGCAAACGUAAUGUGGUAAAUGCAAUUACUUUUGCACUUUCUCAAACAACCUGUUUAGUUGUUUUUUU